rnacentral:piRNA from 1 species
UAGCCAAGUUGGGGAUGAGCUGUUCCUGGU